ensembl:lncRNA
CUCAUAAUGGGGUCAUCUGUGCAUCAGAGGAGGCUGUUGGGACGAGAUACAUGUGAUUUCAAUGUCUUUGAUACCGUUCCAGCCAUUACAAUGAGCCCGUCCUCCUGUAGCUCCUCCCACCAGCCUCCUCUGCUGUACAUACAAAACGGGUUAUUUUGGAAAUGUGAAUCACACCUAUCAUAUCACAGGAUGGCAGUGGAAUCUUCUAGAACACACGUCUUUGGCUCCUUUGGCUCAAUGCGUAAAAAUACACGGGUGAAUGGAUGGUCCAGGAAAGUUUUCACAGCAGAGACGUGUGUGUUCUCAACAUGAAACUUGACCUUACAGUAUAGAAAUUGAAUAAAUAUAUAAAACAAAUAAAUAUGCAAUAGGUAAGACGAGUGAUCGUUACAUAAGAUGAACGUUCUCUCAAAACCUUUGUGUUGUGAGUGUGUGGUGUGUGAGUUUGCGCUGGUAUUACUAACAAGCUUAUGAUUGUGGUGCUUUAUGGUGGGUAAAAGUAAGUUUUAUCUAUACCGUUACAUUAUUUCCAUUCCAGCCAUCGCAAUGAGCUAAGACCUGGGUUCAAAUAGUAUUUGUAAUCUUUCAUUGAGCUGCUUGGUACAACGGAACCAAUGCAAUAGUCUGAAAAGUACAAAUCCUGCCCGACCAUCUGGCACUCCAGACGGGCUCAAAAUAUUUGAGAGAUUUCAAAUAAUAUUUGAACCCAGGUCUGUCUUUUCUCUGGUGGCAUAUUGAUCCCUUGGUGCUCAGUAGGCCGAUAGUAGCCACAGGCACGCGCCACACACACACACACCUUCAGUGUUCUUCCUCCGACUGAGAGAUAUAAUAUAGUGACUCCUCCUUCAUGUAGCAAGUUGACUUUGUGCACAAAAAUAAAAAGAAAGACUAUGGUAAUAAAUAUAGCUUAGUGUUGAUGUUGUCUUAGGGUGGUGGAGGGAUAGUGGGGAUGGAGGGAUAGUGGGGAUGGAGGGAUAGUGGGGAUGGAGGGAUAGUGGGGAUGGAGGGAUAGUGGGGAUGAAGGGAUAUGGGGACCGGAGGGAUAGUGGGGACGGAGGGAUAGUGGGGACGGAGGGAUAGUGGGGAUGGAGGGAUAGUGGGGAUGGAGGGAUAGUGGGGAUGGAGGGAUAGUGGGGAUGGAGGGAUAGGGGG